rnacentral:rRNA from 1 species
AGCUCCAAUAGCGUAUAUUAAAAUUGUUGCGGUUAAAACGCUCGUAGUUGGAUAUCUGCUAAGGGGUUUCGGUCCUUCCCAGUGAAGAAUACGCGGAACUCUUCUUGGCAUUUAUUCAGGGAAGGUGUUUGCACUUUGUUGUGUGUCACAUGAUCUGAAUUUUUACUUUGAGGAAAUGAGAGUGUUUCAAGCAGGCUUUUGCCGUGAAUAUGAUAGCAUGGAAUAAUAGCACAGGACCCCUUUCCAAAGCUGUUGGUUUUUGGAACGAGGUAAUCAGAAUAAGGAUAGUUGGGGGUAUUCGUAUUUAACUGUCAGAGGUGAAAUUCUUGGAUUUUUUAAAGACGAACUAUUGCGAAGGCAUCUGCCCAGGAUGUUUUUAUUGAUCAAGAACGAAAGUACG